rnacentral:rRNA from 1 species
GAUGAACGCUAGCUACAGGCUUAACACAUGCAAGUCGAGCGACCGGCGCACGGGUGAGUAACACGUAUACAACCUCCCCUUUACUCGGGGAUAGCUUUUCGAAAGAACUAUUAACACAUGCUAUAAACGACGGGGAUGCGUUCCAUUAGGUUGUUGGUGCAGUAACGGCCCACCAAGCCUUCGAUGGCUAGGGGUUCUGAGAGGAAGGUCCCCCACAUUGGAACUGAGACACAGUCCAAACUCCGACGGGAGGCAGGAGUGAGGAAUAUUGGUCAAUGGGCGGUAGCCUGAACCAGCCAAGUAGCGUGAAGGAUGAAGGCUUAGGGGUCGUAAACUUCUUUUGUAUAAGAAUAUGUAUUAUAUGAAUAAGGAUCGGCUAACUCCGUGCCAGCAGCCGCGGUAAUUC